UUAUAAACUAUAUGACCAUGAGAUUUAUAGCAUGGGAUAGAGAAAGUUUAAAGUACUUUUCUGGAAGUGACGAGAUUGCAAAUAUGCACAUUACUAAUAUAAAUGGAACAUUACUUAAAAACGUGGUAAGUGAUAAAGGUCAAGGCAGAUAUAUAAGUGAAGCUUUAUAUGAAGAUAAUGAUGGAUAUUAUAUAUGUAAAAUUGCUUUUUGCAUAAGUAAGUGUUAUGAAACUGGUUUUAGAAUUAAUUCUCUAUUAGUGACAGAUAAAGAACCUAUGUAUGAUUUUGAGGUAUUUGAUGAGAUUUCUAAAAGUGAAUUUGUAAGUGUUUACAGUGUAAAUUCACCUGAAGAAUUUGCAGGAGUAUUUUAUAGAGAAAAUCCAUUUCUGUUAAAAAGUAAUAUGAAUGAAGGUAUAUUCUUUACUAGAUUUAAUUUUAAUAAUGACCAUGUAAAAGAAAAUGUAUAUAUAAUAAAUAAUGAUAUGAAAGCUAUAUAUUACUUAAUGGGAAAUAAGUUUUUUAUUGGUACUUAUAACGAAAAUGAUUGCAAUUAUAUCAAUGAAAUAAGUCAAUCUAAUUAUAGCGACUAUAUUAAAUUUGAAGAGAAAUUUUUCUUUGAGCAAAAUGCAUUAUAUGAUUUUGCAGAAUCAGGUUCAUUAGAUUUUGAUGAUUUUUUGGAAUAAUAAAUUUAGACAUUAUUUAAGCGAGAUUAACUGAAUUUAAUCUCGCUUAAAUUUAUUUCUAUAAUAUUGGGGGAAUAUUAUGAGGAAUACAUUUAUUAUUGUGGUCAAUUAUUAAAAUUUUAUACAGUUUAUUAUAAAAAAUUUAUAUUUUUCUUUAUGUUGUUUGCCAAUAUUAGUCUCAAAUACGAGUACCAUACUAUUCUGAAUCACCAACACAAGAGAGCAUUUUUAAAUGAAAAAGUCAGAUAAAAUUAAAUUUUAUCUGACUUUUUCUAUGUUUAUCUUAUUAGAUUAUGUUAAUAUCUGUUGACCGAAUAAGCGCAUAUUCAGUCAACUUUCUAUACCUAUAAUAAUAUUGGGGGAAUAUUAUGAGGAAUACAUUUAUUAUUAUGGUCAAUUAUUAAUGUUUUAUACAACUUACUUAAAAAAAUAUAUAUUACAUUUCUUCCUCAUCAAAUUCUUCAAUAUUAGUAGCCUGUGGUAUACCUUGUAUAGACAUAUUACUAGAACCAUAAGGAGUAGGAUAUAUAUUAGGAGGCAUAGUACUAGGCAUAACUACAGGCAUACCUUGCAUUGUAUUAUGACAUAUAACUCCUGGUAUCAUCAUAAGUACAUUAGGAGGCAUAUUUUGAUUACAUGAGAAGUUAGGAAUACCCAUAGUAUUAUUCAUAUUAUACCCCAUAUUACUGUUCAUGUUAUUAGGCAUACCUGUAUUACCAUACAUAUUGUUAUUCAUAUUGCCAGACAUAUUGUUAGGCAUACCCAUAUUACUAUUCAUAUUAUUAGACAUAUUGUUAGGCAUACCCAUAUUACUAUUCAUGUUAUUAGGAACAUUGUUAGGCAUGCCCAUUUACUAUUCAUUUAUUAGGCAUAUUGUUAGGCAUACCCAUAUUACUAUUCAUAUUGUUAGACAUAUUAUUAGGCAUACCCGUAUUAUUAUUCAUGUUAUUAGGCAUAUUAUUUGUAGCAGAUGUAUUGUAAUUCAUAUUUCCGGAUGUAUUAUUUGUGUUAGGCAAGUUGUUUGGAGAAUUACUACUUUUAGGAUAAUGAUUUACAUUAUUAGGAUAUAGGUUAUUUAUGUUCUGGUUAUUAGGUAUUUUUGUAUAACCAUUAGAAAUUUGAGGGUCAUUUCUCAAUUCAUCUUGGGGAAUUUCUUCAUUAGUAAUAUAAUCUGCAUAGUUCGCUGGGUCUAAGUAAGGCAUGUAACUAGUAUCUAAAUCCUUUUUUUUCUUGUUACUCAUAUUAAACUUGCACCUCCUAGAAAACUAUAAAAAAGUUUACAAAAACUUAUUCUAAUAAUAUAUAUAUUAAAAAAGUUUAUAAUAUGUGCAUUCUAUUUAUAUUAAAUUAAUAAAAAUUAUUGUUGCAAAUUUAGAAAUGAUAACAUAUAAUGAACAUAUGAACAGUUAUUCAUAUAUUAAAAUAAUGGAGGAUUAAAAAUGAGAGAAGAGAUAAAUGAUUGUAAUUGUAAUAUAGUACAUGAAGAAAUAGUAACAGAGGCUAAAUCAACUAUGCCAGAUGAAGAAAUGUUAUAUGAUUUAGCAGAAUUAUUUAAAGUAUUUGGGGAUACUACUAGAGUAAAGAUAUUAUAUGCAUUAUUUGCAAAUGAAAUGUGUGUAUGUGAUAUAGCGAGUUUAUUAAAUAUGACUCAUUCUGCAAUAUCUCAUCAACUUAGAGUAUUAAAGCAGGCUAGAUUAGUAAAGUUUAGAAGAGAAGGAAAAACAGUGUAUUACUCAUUAGAUGAUAGUCAUAUAAGUCAGAUAUUUGAUUGUGGAUUAAAUCAUAUUAGAGAGACUUAUAAAUGAUAAAUGAGAGGAGUGAAUAUAUAUGGAAGCAAAUAAUUCAAUUAAAAAAGAAUUUAUACUAGGAGGAUUAAAUUGUGCUCACUGUGCAGAGGAGAUUAAUAAUAAAGUUUCUAAACUACAAGAAGUUAAAUCUUCCAAUUUAAAUUUUAUAAAUAAAAAACUUACAGUAAAUAUAAAGGAAAGUUUUAAUGAGGAUACUACUAUAGAAAAGAUAAUAGAUAUAAUAGAUUCAACAGAGCCAGGUCUUGAUAUACAAAUAAGUUCUAAAGAAAAUGCAGCUAGUAAAACAUCAAUUAAAAAAGAGCUUAUAUUAGGAGGAUUAAACUGUGCUCAUUGUGCAGAAGAGAUUAAUAACAAAGUUUCUAAAUUAAAAGAAGUUGAAUCUUCUAAUUUAAACUUUGUAAAUAAAAAACUUACAGUAAAUAUAAGUAAUAACUUUGAAGAGGAUGAUGUUAUAAAUAAAAUAAAAGAAAUAAUAAAUUCAACAGAGCCAGGGCUUGAUAUACAAGUAGGGUCUACUGACAAAGUAAAAGGGAGAACUACUGAAAAAUCAGGAGCUGUAAAUGAUACAAAUAAGAAAGAAUUAAUUCCACUUAUAAUUGGAGCACUUGUAUAUAUAUUUGGUAUAUAUCAAACAGCUACAGGUUAUGAAAGUCAGUUUAGCAAUAUAGUAUUUAUAGUUGCCUAUGUAAUAGUAGGUGGUGAUGUGCUUUUAAGAGCAAUAAGAAAUAUAUCAAAAGGAAGAGUAUUUGAUGAGAACUUUUUGAUGGCUCUAGCAACAGUAGGAGCAUUAGCAAUAGGGGAGUUAUCAGAAGCAGUAGGGGUUAUGCUUUUCUAUAAAGUAGGAGAGUAUUUACAAGGUGUUGCAGUUGGUAAAUCCAGAAAGUCUAUAACUUCACUUAUGCAAAUAAGACCAGACUAUGCAAAUCUAAAAGUUAAUUCUGAAGUUAAGGUGGUGUCACCAGAAGAGGUAAAUGUAGGUGAUAUAAUAGUAGUAAAACCUGGUGAAAAAGUACCAUUAGAUGGUGUAGUAGUAGAUGGAGUUUCUAUGUUAGAUACUUCUGCACUCACAGGAGAGUCAGUGCUGAGAGAAGUUGAAAAAGGAGAUGAAAUCUUAUCAGGUGUUAUAAAUAAAAAUGCUUUAUUGAGUAUUGAAGUUACAAAGAGUUUUGGAGAAUCAACAGUUUCUAAGAUUCUUGACCUUGUUGAAAAUUCUAGCAUUAAAAAAUCAAAGACAGAAAACUUUAUAUCUAAGUUUUCAAGAUACUAUACUCCAAUAGUAGUAAUAGCUGCUUUAUUAAUAGCAUUUGUGCCACCACUUGUAAUCUCAGGUGAGGUAUUUAGUGAUUGGUUAUAUAGAGGAUUGAUAUUCUUAGUCGUUUCUUGCCCUUGUGCAUUAGUUUUAUCAAUACCACUUAGUUUUUUUAGUGGAAUUGGGUUUGCAUCU
rnacentral:rRNA from 1 species